rnacentral:rRNA from 1 species
CCUACGGGAGGCAGCAGUGAGGAAUAUUGGUCAAUGGGCGUAAGCCUGAACCAGCCAAGUCGCGUGAGGGAUGAAGGUUCUAUGGAUCGUAAACCUCUUUUAUAAGGGAAUAAAGUGUGGGACGUGUCCUGUUUUGUAUGUACCUUAUGAAUAAGGAUCGGCUAACUCCGUGCCAGCAGCCGCGGUAAUACGGAGGAUCCGAGCGUUAUCCGGAUUUAUUGGGUUUAAAGGGUGCGUAGGCGGCCUUUUAAGUCAGCGGUGAAAGUCUGUGGCUCAACCAUAGAAUUGCCGUUGAAACUGGGAGGCUUGAGUAUGUUUGAGGAAGGUGGAAUGCGUGGGGUAGCGGUGAAAUGCUUAGAUAUCACGCAGAACCCCGAUUGCGAAGGCAGCCUGCCAAGCCAUGACUGACGCUGAUGCACGAAAGCGUGGGGAUCAAACAGGAUUAGAUACCCGAGUAGUC